CAGCCGCCGCGGUAAUACGAAGGGGGCUAGCGUUGCUCGGAAUGACUGGGCGUAAAGGGCGCGUAGGCGGCGGCCAAAGUCAGGCGUGAAAUUCCUGAGCUCAACCUGGGGGCUGCGCUUGAUACUUGGUUGCUUGAGUGGGGAAGAGGGUCGUGGAAUUCCCAGUGUAGAGGUGAAAUUCGUAGAUAUUGGGAAGAACACCGGUGGCGAAGGCGGCGACCUGGUCCUUGACUGACGCUGAGGCGCGAAAGCGUGGGGAGCAAACAGGAUUAGAUACCCCAGUAGUCCCUGUCUCUUAUAC
rnacentral:rRNA from 1 species